CAGCCGCCGCGGGAAUACGUAGGUGGCAAGCGUUGUCUGGAAUUAUUGGGCGUAAAGGGCUCGCAGGCGGUUUCUUAAGUCUGAUGUGAAAGCCCCCGGCUCAACCGGGGAGGGUCAUUGGAAACUGGGAAACUUGAGUGCAGAAGAGGAGAGUGGAAUUCCACGUGUAGCGGUGAAAUGCGUAGAGAUGUGGAGGAACACCAGUGGCGAAGGCGACUCUCUGGUCUGUAACUGACGCUGAGGAGCGAAAGCGUGGGGAGCGAACAGGAUUAGAUACCCCUGUAGUCCCUGUCUCUUAUAC
rnacentral:rRNA from 1 species